CCAAUAGCGUAUAUUAAAGUUGUUGCAGUUAAAAAGCUCGUAGUUGAAUUUCGGGGUUAGUAGGUUGGUCAUGCCUCUGGUAUGUACUGGUCUCACUGAUUCCUCCUUCCUGAUGAGCCGUAAUGCCAUUAAUUUGGUGUUGCGAGGAAUUUGGACUGUUACUUUGAAAAAAUUAGAGUGUUUAAAGCAAGCUAACGCUUGAAUACAUUAGCAUGGAAUAAUGAAAUAGGACGUUCGAUCCUAUUUUGUUGGUUUCUAGGAUUGACGUAAUGAUUAAUAGGGAUAGUUGGGGGCAUUAGUAUUCAAUUGUCAGAGGUGAAAUUCUUGGAUUUAUUGAAGACUAACUACUGCGAAAGCAUUUGCCAAGGAUGUUUUCAUUAAUCAAGAACGAAAGUUAGGGGAUCGAAGACGAUCAGAUACCGUCGUAGUCUUAACCAUAAACUAUGCCGACUAGGGAUCGGAUGAUGUUAAUUUUUUAAUGACUCAUUCGGCGCCUUACG
rnacentral:rRNA from 1 species